UACGUAGGGGGCGAGCGUUGUCCGGAAUCAUUGGGCGUAAAGAGCGUGUAGGUGGCUUGGAAAGUCUUACGUGAAAGCCUGCGGCUCAACCGCAGAAGUGCGUGGGAAACUUCCUCGCUAGAGUCCGGAAGAGGAGAGCGGAAUUCCUGGUGUAGCGGUGGAAUGCGCAGAUAUCAGGAGGAACACCUGCGGUGUAGACGGCUUUCUGGACCAUUGCUGACGCUGAGACACGAAAGCGUGGGUAGCAAACAGG
rnacentral:rRNA from 1 species